UGCCUUUCUGAUCAGGGCAGGAUGUAGGAAAGGAUGCCCCACUCCUGCACCCCUCCCCUACUUUCCUCUGCCCUCUCCUUCCCUCCCUGAUAGCCCCUAUCUGAGACUCGCCCUCCCUCUUCCUGCUCCCGGGGCCUCUUGCCCUGGACUGUGUUGGCAAUCAGUGUUGUUGGUCUCCAUGGAGCCAGGUCCAGGAUCCCCCACUCUGGCCACACAGCCCGAAGCAGCCUCAGUUCCAACUUCAUCUUUCUGUGCACCUCUGGGGAGCCUCUACCCCUUCUCUCCUGAGUUUCCUGGACCAGACUCCAGUUCUGAUGUCACAGGGCCCAACUGUGCCUGGCAGCUGCCUUUACCCUUGCUGGUCAUUAUCAAAGACACACAUACAGGUGCUAACUGCUGUUAUUCACUGUUGCUACUGAAUGACUAAGAACACAAUGGAUGGAUAGAUGAAGAAGACCAUGUGAUUGGUUGCCUGGGAUGGGGUGUGGGAGGAUGCUGAAGGUCUGUUAUGUGCUUGGCUGAAACAGCUAAUUCACCAGGUAACAUAAGUUAGUCACUCACUUAUUGGCUGCACUAUUUAGGAAACUUCUCCCCUUUCUCUCUUUCAACUUCAACGUUCUACAAGAGGGGAUGCCAGCAAGCUCCCCACCUCAGAGUGCCACAUGCAUUGAAUGGCAAUAUUCUAUGGCAGGGUUUGUCCUCCAUCAAGCCCAACUCUUAAUUAUGACAAAAUGAGUACCCUGUUGGUGUGUAUGGCAGAUUCUGACCUUCAUAGCUGUCUCUAUGGCUCCCCACUUGGUGGAAGAGGAGCCAGAGGCUCAGAGAGGUGGAGCACUGUGCCUCAGGUCACACAGCAGCUGAGCCCAGGGAUUGACAGAGUGGAGAUAGAGAUCUGAGUGUGACCACUGACCUCUUCUGCUGACCAAAGCCUUGGGCCUUGAGCUUCAAGUCCCUCGGCCACUCCCUGGGCCCCUUCCCACGCUCCCUGGCCUUCCCUUCCUGUUCCACUGGGCUCCUGGUGUCCUGAGUCUGGAAAGUUCCAGAAGCCUGGGAGAGAUAAGGAGUUUCUUGCUUGCCCAGGCUAUGGGCAGUGCCUGACUGUGGCCCCUUUGAUCAGAGGUCUCUUAGUGUUGCCAGUCAGCUGCUUGGCAAGGCAGAUAUCUGUGAUGGGGACAGCCUGGGAGAGCCACCUGGAUGGCCACCUCCCCUUGCCUUUACAGCAGUGCCUGUCCCUGCAGACAGGAAGCUGUGUCCUGCACUGGUGGUGGGACCAGCUGCCUUGACAGCCAGCCAGCUCUUUUAUCUUCUAGGGGAAGUGGUGCAGGGGAGUGGGCCUGGCUUGGGACAUUGGUCCAUUUUCCUGGCAAGUGUGGGAGUAGGGCACAGUAGGGCUGACUCCCAUGCUGCAGUGAUGUCCAAAUCUUGAUAGAGGAUAUAUCAUAGAAAGAACUUCCCUGGGGAGCUCUGGCCCUCCAUCCCAAGUGACCGGGCAGACCCGUUUCCUAGGACAACUCUGAGCUGCUGCCACAUUGUCCAGAGAAGGUGGCAGCUUCAAGUCAGAGGCUCAGAGCCUCUGACCUACUGAUGUCCCCAAGGGUCAAUGAUCCUGUGGUCCUUUCUGUUGGCUGGCUGUUACCAUUGAUUAUUUAUAAAGUGAAGACACAGACCCACCACAGAGCAUUAUGGGAUAGGGGAUGGUGGGAAAUGAUGUAGGCAACUUGCUAGGCCAAAAUGUCAUGUUUGGGCCCCAUCUCCAAACCCCAAUCCUGGAGAGUGGCCCUGCGCCAUGCCAUCUUCAGAAGCCAGGCAGUACUGAGAUGCUUGUAGGCAUUGUCCCCUAGGAGGUGACCCUGAGGGAAACCUCCCUGUUGCUCGUUUCAUCCUCCCAUCUGCUCAGUGUAUGAUGUCAUCAUGCCCACAAAAAGGGAAACUGAGGCUCACAAACAGAGAAAGUCAGCACCCCAACCGAAUUCUCUUUCUCUCUCUUUCUGCAGUGCGUAUGCACACAUUUGUGUACACACAGUGCCCUGAGGAGGAGGAGGACGUCCUGCUCUAUCACCCACUGUCUUAUUCCCUUGACACACAGUCAUGAACCCAGAGCUAGGCUGAUGGCCAGAAGGCACCAGUGACUCUCUUAUCCUCUUCUCUGCGUGGGGUUGCAGGUGCACCUAUCCACGUCCAGUGUUUUACAUGGGGUGUGGACUCAAGCUCUGAGCCUAGUUGUAUUGCAAAUGUUCUCAUAAACUACACCAUUUCCCCAGGCCCCUCACAGACUAAGCCCCCCCUUUUUUUUAGGUCUACAAUAUCCUCUGGGAAUCCUUGGGAGUUCUGGCUUGAGGCUGGGCCUGGGCUCUGCAGGAGUCCACAAGGAUUCAGAGAGGUGGCUUCCUUAGCAGCUAUAGGGGGCUGCUGCACAGGAGAGGCUGGGUAACCUUAGACACUUGACCCUGGCCUGUUUGUGUAUGUGUGUGAUGUGUAUAUGUGUCUAUAUGUGGGGUGUGUGUGUGUGUGUGCGUGCGUGUGUGUGUGUGUGUGUGUGUGUGUGUGUGUGUCUGUGUGUGUGUGUGCGCGCGCACGCGCGUGCAGGUGGAAUGAGAUCAGAGCUGUGUAAGGGGGUUAAUAAGAAGACAGUGUGUGAGCAAUCACACUGUGUGGGUGGCACUGGGGUAGUAACAGGGAACAUGGCAUUGGACGGUGGCAAUGAUUUUGGUGAUGGCACUGGAUAGGGAUUUUAGAGACUCUGGCCUGGUCUUUCGCCCACCUGCUCUUGGCACUGGCCUGUACCUGGCUCAUACCUGUCCCAAAAGUUCUAGGAUGCUUUGCCUCCCUCCUUUGGGUCAGCCUCAUGGCCCUUCUGAGGCCUCCGUGGUCCAUGCUGUUGGGAUGGCAGGCCUGGGAAGUGAUUGAUUUAGGUCAGGAGUCAGGAGAAGUUGACCUUGACUUUGACUCAGACCCCCACAUUGCUGGUUCCUUUCUCAAUGUCUUGGAGGAGUUUCUGGGCCCAGGACCUGUGCUGAUAGGGGGUGUGGGUAGGUAGAUACCACAGUACUCUCUGCCUUAAAGACCUCCAUUCUUCAGGAGGGAGAGUGUCACCCAAACAGAGUGACACAGAUGGGUUGGGCAGAGGUGGGCUGUUGGAGCCAUUUGUGUGAGGCCUUGAAGGAGGUGUUCAUCUUUAGUGAAACGAGAGAGAGGGCUCAAGGUGGAGGCAGUACAAGGGUGAAGGCCUGAGCUUUGGAAGGUGCAGGGCUUCCCUGAGGACUGAUUCAGGGCUGAGUAGGUUGGGGCUCUAGGCAGCAGCACAAACAACUUGGAGGCUGCCCUGCUCUGAAGUGGGCUCCUUCUGUUCCCUCCCAGCCAUCCCUCAGCCUUCUGGGAGACUCAGUGGUACCCCUCCCCCCAAAUAACUGGAAUUGUUUAAAAGUGCCAGCAAGAAUUCAGCUCGGCAGGUUAUACUAGUCAGGGGUUGGAACUAGGGUCACUGGAAGGGGGCCUAGGGGUGGGGAAGACCAGCCCAGUAGGACUCGGUGGGAGAAGGUGAAAGGUCCCAACCUUGGUCUGGAGGGCAGAUUAUGAGAGAGACAGGACCAGAGGGGCUUUGAAACAGAGCUAGGGGAGUUCAUCUUCUCUGUCACCUGGAAAAGCCUCCCACCAGGAGGCUGGGGAUGUGGGGUGGGGCAUGGCCACACAGUAGGCUGGCAGGGACUCUGUGCAUGCUCAUGUGUGUGUGCAUGCGUGUGAUGUGCGUGAGUGUGAGUGUGCAUGCAUGUGAGUGUGUGCAUGAGUGUGAGUGUGUGCGUGAGUGUGAGUGUGUGCGUGAGUGUGAGUGUGCAUGAGUGUGAGUGUGCAUGUGUGUGAGUGUGUACAUGCGUGUGAGUGUGUGCACGUGUGUGUUAGCAGAGAAGAGCCUUGGUCUGUGGCUUCUCCUUUUGGACAUGGUUUUCCAUGCCUAGAUAUGCAUGUAGGCGCAUGUGCACACCAUGUGUCUUACUCUGCACAUGUGGACACAGGCCUGUGAUCUAACUAACGUGUAUCUUUCCCAGUCCUUAGCCCCACAAGACCAGAGUGUUCCUUCAUCCAUCUCUUCCUUCACUCACAAAAGCUCUGUGGAGGCCUCACCUGGUGCCUAGCACAGCUCUGAGCUCAGAGGAUUUGUUCUCAAUGGUUUGUCCUUUCACUGGUCUCGCAAUGCCCUCCAGGAUGAGAUGGACUUUACAUACAUGAGCCAAUGGGGGACAUUUGCAGUGUGACAAGUGCCAGGGAAGGUGAAUCAGGUAGGAGAAGGGA
rnacentral:lncRNA from 1 species